rnacentral:misc_RNA from 1 species
GCAAAUUUUGGAAUUAAGUAAUACAAUUACAUAAAUGGAAUGUUUUCUUUGUAUUAUUUAGUAUACUUUGAGCCCCUGGGGCUUUAGUUUAGUGGCAUUGUGCAACAUAUGAUGUGUGGGUUAAACACACAUCAUGAGUUUGAACCUUGUGGUGGACAAAAGCUUGUGUUUUAAGUGGAGAAGUGUGGAUGAAUGGGCCCAAUGAGUUUCAAACAAUUUGCCAGAGGGCCCUCCGAGAUUUCCCGAUUAUAAAAAUAACUUGGUAUGUUCUGUAAAUGUGCAACUUCA